rnacentral:rRNA from 1 species
UCAGAUAAGUCUAAUCAGACUGAAAUUGAUGUCGAAGACACGAUCAUUCACAUCAAUUGAAGCAGGCAGAAAUGGCGCGGAAGCUACCGUUUAACGAAUGCAAGCAAGGUAGCUUGCUUACUCUCCAUCUAG